CGAUAAUCGAUCAAUGGGUUCCAUUGAUUUUCGAUCGCUCGUUCGUCUUGGGAAAAACGGUUAAAGUUUCUCGCUGCCACCCCGUCACAAUGUUCCCGAUAUAAAUUUUUAGCGAACGAGUCACACGAGAACUUUACGCAAGGCAUAUGGCUUCUCCGUGGGACGAUCGAUUCUACAACUAAGGCAACUUGUGCUUGCCAAGAUUUACCAACUAACAUAACGCUUCGGGCACAAUCCUUGAAAGACAGUCAUCGUUCCGUAUGCGUACGUCGAUACUCAUCGUUUCUCUUAACUGUUUCCCGAGUUUUCAGAUACACGCCGAAACGAUGACAUUCGAAGCAAUUGUCACGUACGCAACGAAGGUUCCUCCAGGAGAAGUGAAUCCCUCUUAUAAUCUGGCCCGUUAUUCGGACAAUCUCGAAACGAAAUUAUAUCUCUGCAAAGAACAUUCUUUGAUCUUUGACAUGAAUAUGAAAUGGAAUUUAGUCGAUCGAUAGCGUUUCAAGCAGUAAGAUGCGGAAACGACAGGAAGUAUUAGGAAUCACUGACACCUCGUGGUAGUACACAAAAUCGAUACACAAACGACAGAGAAGCGGCAGAUUAAUGAAACGUCGUUGCAUUUGACGAACAUUCGGGAACAAAUUGCCGCAUUAUCGCGGUCAAACUUUCAAAGAAUCCACGAUCACUCGUGCUUCGAACAACUCACUAUACUGAAUGCACGAUUGCCGGUGAACCGUACGUAUGAAACCAUUGGAUUGUUAAAACUUCGAAAAAAUAAUCAACAAUAAAACUUUUCCUAUUAAAGUAUAAUUUUUCCUAUUAAAAGAACAUUUCAUAACUGACAUUUACAACUCAAGUUUCAGUUAGUAUUUCACAUGCAUUAUGUGUAUGUACCAGGCACGUACGCAGUUGCAUUCAACAUAGUCUAAUGAUAAUACGCAGGAAGGUGAACCGAAGUCACGCACUCUGGUUACUACAUCACCAGUAAAGAAAUGUAAAAAAGAGAGCGGUGAAAGAGAAAAGGAAGAUUAUUUAAUCUGAUAACAUCCGUUUAAGCAUGAGAAUGUUGUGAAAAGAACUCUGGACGAGAGAAAUUCGAACUGUCUGAAUCUUCCAAAAAUAUUUCGAUGAAUAUAAAAGUGUUUUUACAAAAACUUUUCAAAGAAAUGAAAGACACAAAGAGAAAAAUCAUAUAUUUGUUAACUACAUCCAAGAAUACUUGGAUGAAUCCUUUUGAUUUCUACAACAAAUAACACAAGAAGACCAACUAAUCUUAUAUGUCGCAUCUUUCCUUUAUGAUAAAAGACUCAGAUGAGUUUAAUGAAAAUAGUCAAUUAUAAAAUUUUAAGGAAAGUAAUACAAUUAUUACAUGGAUAUACCGUUAAAUGAGCUCCACCAAGCAGUACCGUUGACUUGGAGCUACAAUAUUCCCAUACUACUACUGACCCAAAAACAACACUCAUUGUUCAGAAA